rnacentral:rRNA from 1 species
UACGGAGGAUGCAAGCGUUAUCCGGAAUGAUUGGGCGUAAAGCGUCCGCAGGUGGUUUUGUAAGUCUGCUGUUAAAGCGUGAGGCUCAACCUCAUAUGGGCGGUGGAAACUACAAGACUAGAGUACGUUCGGGGCAGAGGGAAUUCCUGGUGUAGCGGUGAAAUGCGUAGAUAUCAGGAAGAACACCGGUGGCGAAAGCGCUCUGCUAGGCCGUAACUGACACUGAGGGACGAAAGCUAGGGGAGCGAAUGGG